AUACAUAUAAAAGAAACCUGAUUAUAACCUAUACGGGGCUGUUCCAAUCAUCAUAGAAGCAUCUGGAGAGCGUGAGACCAUCCUCUCGAGUGCCUCCAAGAAAUGAUUUAACCACACACAGGAGCUGCCUGAGAAAGCACUGAGAAGGAGGACAAACAGCAAUGGCGUUUUAUCUCCCCUGGUGGGACUAGAAACAGCUUGACAGCAUGGCCCUGUCUGCUGUUUCUUUGUGCCCCUCACGGAGUAUAUAUAACUAAACAGAUGAGGAAGGAAGAGGGCUCCAGGGAACCUGUGUUGCAGGCCGUCUGUACCUACCAAGAGGGUCCCGGAGUUGGUAUGAACUGUAAGGCCUGCAGUCCAGGAAAUGAGGAUCUCGAAGGUGCUGGAGUCUCAGUCGACAGCUCUCAGGUAAGCACAGAGAACGUUACUGUAGGAUGACUUUAGGGCUGCUGGGCUCCUGUGUCCCCUCGGUUAGGUGGAGCCUUAAACCAGGGUGACUUGGAGCAAGCCUCCAUCUUGGAUCUUCUUCCCUUCUUCCUUCCCUUUUGCUUCUCCUCCUGGAGAGCCCAGGGUGUCUUUGGUUUUUGUUUUUUCACCUUCUCUCCUGUACUGCGUGACUGUGGCAGAAUGUUCCGGGAACAUCUAGUCAGAGAGCAUUUGGUGGGCUCCCGGGCCAGGCGGCCACCUGGGACUAUUAACAUGGCGGCAGCACUGGCCUCCGAAGGGUUAAGGGGACCUGGGGGACAGUGGGUUGACCCAACCCAGUCCCUCGGGGCAUCUCCAGAAGCUCUGAGGACAUCUGGGUCAUGUGGGUGUUGUAAACCCAGAAGGGACCAGAAUUGAAAUCAAGACCAAAGGGCUCUGCAUCAGUCCCCUUUCUCCCUCAGCCUAAGUCUACGCUAGGCUUCUCCUUGGCUUCAGCAACAGCCAUCCAGGCCCAAGACCAGUCCUGGGGACGUAGAAUGUCUCAAUCUGAUUCUCCUCGCAUAUCCCACUCCUCAGACUCACCAACCUUUCAUUCGGACCUCAAUUCCCAACAGGAACACCUAUCAUUUCUUGAUAUUCCUUAGAGUUCAGGCACGGUGCCGACCACUUCCUACAUAGGCUUGCCAGAUAAAAUGCAGGAUACCCACUUUACCUGAAAUUUGAAUUUCAGGUAAAUAACGAAUAGUUUUUCAGUAUAAGUGUGUCCCAAAUACUGUAUGGGACAUACUUAGACUUUUUAAAAAACCCAUUCAUUGUCUAUCUGAGAUUCGAAUUUAAUGGGGUGUACUGAUCUUUUUUUCCGCUAAAUCUGGCAACCCUAGGUCUUAUCUCAGUUAAUCCUCACAAUAACUGCAGCCAAUAGUUACUAUCAAUAUUUUCAUUUUACAGACGAGGAAACUCAGCACAGAGCUUACAAACAACAGAGCCAGGGGUGAGGGAUCUCUACCCACCCUACUGGAUGGAUGGCCUCAAGGGUGGCCAUGUGUCCCGAGUAAGCCUGCAGUCUCUGAAGUCAGCCUGAAGUCACUGAAUCGCCCUCUGCCUCAGUUUCCUCAUCUGUAGUGACUGCAGUCAUGUCUCUCUCACAGAGGUGAGGAUUGAAUGAGUCCAUACGGGUCAGGGACUUAGGUCCUCCCCAGCCCACGGUAAGUACUCAAUAGAUGUUAACUGAAAUUGCCUCUUUAAAAGAACAUAAUGAAGAUUCAUCUGUUGGUGCUUUUUCAGAAUGCUCACAGCAUCCCCAGGAGGGAGGGCGGGCAGCCAUUGCCCUCAGAUUCCUUCUGCCUGGGGCACAGAAGUUGUGUUGGGUCCACAGAGGUUAGAGCUGGGGUUAGAACCCUAGUGCACCAUUUCCUGAUCCAAUACUCAUUUCCCUAUAAAAUCACCAGGAGCCAGUAUCUUUGUGGGGCCAGAUGAGAAGGAACAAAAACAUUCAAAAACCAUCAUAGGAGUCCCUUGCCUCUCAGGGAGGAGAAAUGGGUUAUGGAUUCUCCGUCUCACAUUUACCCCCUUAGGGAUGGGCUGUGUGUGCCCGGGUCUACAGAGCUAACUAAAACACGAAGCAACCUCUUGGGCUCAGACACAACCAAUCAGAAGGGCCCCCGGCCCUAGUGCUGGAGCAGGGUUCCAAAGACCCUUCCCCACAAGCCAGGCAACAACCCUGUAAUGACUAGACAUUCAGGAGGCCUGGGAGAGUGGGGUGUCCAGGGUGAAGGAUGGGGGCAGCAGGGGGCCCUCAGGGAGCUCAGGCUGUGGCUCUUUGCCAACCAGGACAGACAUAUUUCAAUAUUUUAACAGACACACGUGCUGUGAACCUCAGACCUGUGUAUCAGGGUGUUCCCCUAACAGACUGUCUCCACCCACUAAAAAAAGAAAGGCUGAGGGAUGGUGUGUUUGAGCCAUGCCUGGGUGAAACCCCUGUAAACUGUGGAACAGAGCAGGAAUCGUAACUGUGGCAAUUAAACAGUCAGAUAGCAGGCGCCAGGUCCUGCCAGUCCUAAGAGGUCCUUGCCAUCAAGGUCUCAUAAAACAUGGUUGGCCUAUGGUAUUAUGAUUUCAACAAACUAGAAUAACUGUGUUAUGCUGCCUCAAGCAGGAAGAGUCAUUGUGAAAGGCUUUUAGAAAGAGCCCUAGACUGGACAUUGGGGUGCUAUAGUGCUAGCCCAGUUCUGUCCCUGACUAUGAGAGUUUGGGCAAGCCACUCCCUGAUUUUGGUUUGUCAAAUAAAAGAAUUAAGUGGUCUAUCAGUCAUCAUAGAUCUUUGGGUUGCAAAUGAAAGACAAUCAACUCUAACAGAUUUAAGCCAAAACCUGGAUUUAUUGGCUCACAUAACUGAAAAGUUCAGAGAUAAAAGUGGCUUCAGGUACUGCUGGAUCCAGGGACUCAGACAAAUUUCCUCUGAUUCGGUCUUUUCCUCACACUUUUCUGCUUAGGCAUGCUCACUCUAUGGGGUGACUCCAGGAGUUCCAGCCUGACACUAUCCUUAUAGCCAGCAAUUCUACCAGAAAUAGACCUCCUCUAUCUCAAUAGUUAAAAAAAAAUUCUCAUUGGUCUGAUGCAAGUUAUGUGUCCAUCCUAAAAUAAUCACAAUCACUAGAAUCAGAGGGCCAGAACAGGCCCACUGGCCAGGCCGGGGUGUAUGUCCAGCCCUUAGAGCCAGGGCAUAGGUCAGCCCCCCGCCCCCUGCAAAGGUCUAAAGGUGCAAGAGUUGGUUUUCCGAAGAAAAAACAAGGUGCUGUGAGCAAAAGAAGGGAGAAGGGAUGCUGGGAAGAUAUGACCAGCAAGUGUCCACUUCAGAUGGCUCUCAGGUGACUUCCAGCUCUAAGAGUCUAUGAUUUUAGGAAAUAAAGUUUUUGCUUCCUGUCCCUUAGUAACUUACAAAGAGGAGUGCAUGCAGAGAAGGUAGUAUUCUCUUUUCAGCUCCUUACUGCUUCUUAUUCCACCCAUUUCACCACUGUUGUGUGUCCCCUUGGGAAGAGAGCAAAACAGAGAGUUGACCAUAUAAAAAGUCAAAAAGCAACUCUUCUCUGGGAUUUGUGGAAGACAUUCUGGAUCAUCCUUCCUGAAGAGCGCAUCUCCAUGCCAACAACUCCCAUACAGAUCGUCAUAAACAAGGAGGCUUGCACCCCAUCAGCAUCCACAGUGAUCUGAGCAGCCACAUUUCCACUCACAGAGCAACAGCACUUUGUUCUUCUCCCUUCCCUCAGCAUUUUCCCUGCAGAGACCUCUGGUCCUUAAAUCAAGCUCCCGGCCGGUUUGUAUGCUGUAAUGGUGAUAUGCACCGUCUGGCGAUAACCAGAUCCAAACACCAAAUGGUGAACUUGUUUGAGAAAGUGCAGUUUUGUGAGCAACAGUAGAAGGGAAAAUGUUAAUAAAGGGCAGUGUGCUGAACAGAGGUUAAAUACUUUCAUACUUCUCAGCUAAGCCAAAAACUUCCCUGAAUUCUCAUUGAAAAAAAGUUCUCCGUAAUCUGAUGUUUUACCUCAUUAAAUGCUGCAAUUUGAGAAGUAAGGAAGGACUGAGUUGAAAAUCGGCACCUGGUUCAGGUCACUGAGCUGUUAUUCUGUCUGGUGUGCUGGUUCCCCGGGAGGGGAGGGCUCACCAAGUGACAGGGAGCUAAGUGGGCAGAGUUCAAGAUUUCCUGUGGCCUCCCAGAAGCCUUUUCCUCUCUCAGCCCCAAUCCAAAAAGCCCAUUCUGGCUGCUUCCUCCAUAACUCUCUAAGGCUCCUCAGGACUGUCACAUUCUACCCCCGCCUUUUGGGGAAUAGGCUGCCAUGUUGAUUUUUGAAUCCUGGUCAAAGACUGAGAAAUCUAGAAACUCUCAGCUCCUCUUCUUUUGAAGUAAUUGACUUCUUUUUUUCUGUCUCUGUCUCAUUUUCUCCUUCCUUUUCUGUCUAUCUACUCCCAUUUUCUCCUCUAUUCAAUUUUCCUUUUUUUCUUCAGUGGCGGUGCUGAAAUUUCUGACAGAAAAUAUGGACCAAUUAAAAAAAUUAAUAAUGUAAUAUACCAAAAACCAUUCAGUGAGGGAAUUGUACGGCAUGGAAGUUAUAUCUCAAUAAAGCUUUUUUUUUUUUUUUUUUUUUUUUAAGGGGAAGAGGAAAGAAAAGAUAGGAACUACAAUCUGGCUGGGCGGGAGAUUGAAGCUGUAUUUACACAGCAGUGUUCUUAAGACUGAGGAAUCACUAAAUGGGCUCAGUUGAUGGAGAUUGAGUGAUACUCUCAUUCAACUUGGGGCCUCAACCAUUCUUCUUCCUCCCUUCCGAACUGACCGAUGAAUUUGAGCCGGCUAUGGUAUUUGGCGACAUGAGCACAGCGGUUUACAGGGAAGUUACACAGAGUCUCUUGUUUGGCUGCGGUGGUGGCCAUACUUGGAGAGAAGUCUCGGGGCUCCCCUAUGCCACCACCUGCCCCAACUCACACACUCUCAGUUCUCCAUAGGAAAUUCACCACUUUAUGGCCUCGCAUAAAAGUGCCAUUCUGAAUAAACACAAAAG
rnacentral:lncRNA from 1 species